UACGAAGGGUGCUAGCGUUGUUCGGAAUCACUGGGCGUAAAGCGCGCGUAGGCGGCUUAACAAGUCAGGGGUGAAAUCCCACAGCUCAACUGUGGAACUGCCUUUGAAACUGUUAGGCUAGAGUGUCGGAGGGGAUAGCGGAAUUGCUAAUGUAGAGGUGAAAUUCGUAGAUAUUAGCAGGAACACCGGUGGCGAAGGCGGCUAUCUGGACGACAACUGACGCUGAGGCGCGAAAGCGUGGGGAUCAAACAGGG
rnacentral:rRNA from 1 species